GGAGGGGUGGCAGAGCGGUUGAAUGCGGCGGUCUUGAAAACCGUUGGGCGCUCAGCGUCCCGAGAGUUCGAAUCUCUCCCCCUCCGCCA
rnacentral:tRNA from 1 species